GACGAACGCUGGCGGCGUGCUUAACACAUGCAAGUCGAACGAAGUGGCGAACGGGUGAGUAACGUGUAAUCAACCUGCUCUUCAGAGGGGGACACUAGUUGGAAACGACUGCUAAUACGGCAUACUGAAGGAGGGGAUUGGGUCUGAUUAGCUCGUGGGAGGGGUAAGGGCCCCCCAAGGCGAUGAUCAGUAGCCGGUCUGGGAGGAUGGACCGCCAACCUUGGACUGGGGACGGGCCCAGACUCCUACGGGAAGGAGCCGUUGGGAAACUUCCGCAAGGGGCGAAAGGCUGACGAAGCAACGCCGCGGGAGUUAUGAGGGCCUUCGGGUUGGAAAGCUCUGUUAAGCGGGGCGCGGUACCUGAAUAGAAAGCCACGGCUAACUACGUGCCAGCCGCCGCGGUAAUAC
rnacentral:rRNA from 1 species